rnacentral:rRNA from 1 species
CCUACGGGAGACAGCAGUGAGGAAUAUUGGUCAAUGGGCGGGAGCCUGAACCAGCCAAGCCGCGUGAGGGAAGAAGGUACAGCGUAUCGUAAACCUCUUUUGUCAGGGAACAAAGGCGGGGACUAGUCCCCGGCUGAGGGUACCUGACGAACAAGCAUCGGCUAACUCCGUGCCAGCAGCCGCGGUAAUACGGAGGAUGCGAGCGUUAUCCGGAUUUAUUGGGUUUAAAGGGUGCGCAGGCGGCCUGUUAAGUCAGUGGUAAAAGCCCGGGGCUCAACCCCGGCGAGCCGUUGAAACUGGCGGGCUGGAGUUGGAGAGAAGUACGCGGAAUGCGCGGUGUAGCGGUGAAAUGCUUAGAUAUCGCGCAGAACCCCGAUUGCGAAGGCAGCGUACCGGCUCCACACUGACGCUGAGGCACGAAAGCGUGGGUAUCGAACAGGAUUAGAUACCCCAGUAGUC